GGGUCAGUAGGUUGGUCGUGCCACCGGUACGUACUGGUCUCACUGAUUCCUCCUUCCUGAAGAACCGUAAUGCCAUUAAUUUGGUGUUGCGGGGAAACAGGACUGUUACUUUGAAAAAAUUAGAGUGUUUAAAGCAAGCUAACGCUUGAAUACAUUAGCAUGGAAUAAUGAAAUAGGACGAUCGAUCCUAUUUUGUUGGUUUCUAGGAUUGACGUAAUGUUUAAAUAGGGAUAGUUGGG
rnacentral:rRNA from 1 species